CACGUAGGGCGCAAGCGUUGUCCGGAAUCAUUGGGCGUAAAGAGCUCGUAGGCGGUUUGUCACGUCUGCUGUGAAAACUCGGGGCUUAACCCCGAGCUUGCAGUGGAUACGGGCAGACUAGAGGUAGGUAGGGGAGAAUGGAAUUCCCGGUGUAGCGGUGAAAUGCGCAGAUAUCGGGAGGAACACCGGUGGCGAAGGCGGUUCUCUGGGCCUUACCUGACGCUGAGGAGCGAAAGCGUGGGGAGCGAACAGGA
rnacentral:rRNA from 1 species